rnacentral:rRNA from 1 species
UACGGAGGGUGCAAGCGUUAUCCGGAUUCACUGGGUUUAAAGGGUGCGUAGGUGGGCUGGUAAGUCAGUGGUGAAAUCUCCAGGCUUAACUUGGAAACUGCCAUUGAUACUAUUAGUCUUGAAUACCGUGGAGGUCAGCGGAAUAUGUCAUGUAGCGGUGAAAUGCUUAGAUAUGACAUAGAACACCAAUUGCGGAGGCAGCUGGCUACACGAAUAUUGACACUGAUGCACGAAAGCGUGGGGAUCAAACAGG